AGCAGCCGCGGUAAUUCCAGCUCCAAUAGCGUAUAUUAAAGUUGUUGCAGUUAAAAGCUCGUAGUUGAAUUUCGGGUUAGUAGGUUGGUCAUGCCUCUGGUAUGUACUGGUCUCACUGAUUCCUCCUUCCUGAUGAGCCGUAAUGCCAUUAAUUUGGUGUUGCGGGGAAUUUGGACUGUUACUUUGAAAAAUUAGAGUGUUUAAAGCAAGCUAACGCUUGAAUACAUUAGCAUGGAAUAAUGAAAUAGGACGUUCGAUCCUAUUUGUUGGUUCUAGGAUUGACGUAAUGAUUAAUAGGGAUAGUUGGGGCAUUAGUAUUCAAUUGUCAGAGGUGAAAUUCUUGGAUUUAUUGAAGACUAACUACUGCGAAAGCA
rnacentral:rRNA from 1 species